CCUAGGUGGCAGCAGUGGGGAAUAUUGGACAAUGGGCGAAAGCCUGAUCCAGCCAUGCCGCGUGUGUGAAGAAGGCCUUCGGGUUGUAAAGCACUUUCAGUGGGGAAGAAAGCCUUGGGGCUAAUACCCUCGAGGAAGGACAUCACCCACAGAAGAAGCACCGGCUAACUCCGUGCCAGCAGCCGCGGUAAUACGGAGGGUGCGAGCGUUAAUCGGAAUUACUGGGCGUAAAGCGCGCGUAGGCGGUCUGAUAAGCCGGUUGUGAAAGCCCCGGGCUCAACCUGGGAACGGCAUCCGGAACUGUCAGGCUAGAGUGCAGGAGAGGAAGGUAGAAUUCCCGGUGUAGCGGUGAAAUGCGUAGAGAUCGGGAGGAAUACCAGUGGCGAAGGCGGCCUUCUGGACUGACACUGACGCUGAGGUGCGAAAGCGUGGGUAGCAAACAGGAUUAGAUACCCCGGUAGUC
rnacentral:rRNA from 1 species